AACCAUAAUCCAUGGUCUUGGAACAAGCCCGAUGUCUGUUCUUGGAAGCUAAGCAGGGUCUGGCCUGGUUAGUACUUGGAUGGGAGACCACAUAGGAAGACCAGGUGCUAUAGACA
rnacentral:rRNA from 1 species